rnacentral:tRNA from 832 species
GCGGGAAUAGCUCAGUUGGUAGAGCAUAACCUUGCCAAGGUUGGGGUCGCGAGUUCGAGUCUCGUUUCCCGCUCCA